AGGUAGCAAUCCUCACGGACAUCGGGGACACGCGGCGCAGCCACCGGCGUGACACCGAACGUCGUUCGGACGUAGCAUCGUAGACAUUUCGGGCAGAUAGGAGUCGAUGACCCCGUGCCCACCACGUUUUCCGCAUCCCGGAGUUCGAAUGAAAUUCGUGAGCCACGACGUCAACGCCGUGCGUGUUUGCCGUGGAGCACGAAUAUCACUUUGAGUUUCGCCCGAGACCGCUCCGAAUGAACGGGUAGCCUAAGGCGAACGGGUAAAUGUGAGCAGCCGAAUUCCAUCCGAGUAGGUACGCAACACAGGAAACCCGUUGAACGGCCAAUAUAAAUUGUGCCCAAGAUUGAAGAGGAAUGCACGGUCGGACGUCGCCGCUCAGAGCGGGGAUCCAACCC
rnacentral:misc_RNA from 1 species